CAUUUUCUAACCCGAAAAAUUGUUGUUUCUAGUCACCAUAUUGAUUUUUCACCCCUUUUUUAAAAGUAAGCUCUACAACCAAAGGGCUCAAACCCAGAUCAAAAGCCACAUGCUCUACUGACUGAGCCAGCCAGGUGCCCCCAAUUCUUCACUUCUUAAGGAAGAGAUAUCUUCAGUGACAAUGUGUGGAGAUUUAUGGGGCUCUGGAAAAUGAUACUGCUGCUCUAAGUACAAGAAAAACAAAUGCAAAUACUGAUACUUAGACUCAUUAUAUUGCAUUUUGUUAGAGUUAACUAAGAAAAGAAGAAAAUCUGGAAAAUUUGAGGUAAAAAUGUGGAUUUUUUUACAGAAAAUAUUUUCCUCCAUGUAAAAAUAGAAAAUUUUCCUUUUUUUAAGAUUUAUUUAUUUUAUUUUAGAGAGGGAGAGGGGCAACGGGAAAGGGAGAGAAUCUGAAGCAGACUCCGAGCUGAGUGCAGAGCACUGUGUGGGGCUUGAUCUCAUGACCCUGAGAUCACAACCUGAGCCAAAACCAAGAGUCGGAUGCUUGACCAAUUGCACCACCCAAAGCAAUAGACACCUGAUUUUCUAAGGUAAACUGUUAUUUUUUCCUACACAUGUUGCAGUAUUUCUGACUUAGGCUUCCCAGUCACCCCUCAUUUCUUGUACUCUCAUUGGCACGGGGUAGCCCUGGCUUCGGUCGGGCCUCAGUCACUCGCGGGCUGCGGGCGGACCUUUCGGGGAGCCGAGGGCCUCGUAGCGAAGGUGCAGACUGCCAGGCCCUGCAGCACGUUCCGGGGGAAGCGCCCACAGGCUUUGCCAUACACAUUAUAGUGGGCAGAGCAAUGACUCUAUGUGCAGCAACGCAGAAGAGCCGUGAGAGACAGAAUGCUAUCUCCCAAUCCAGGGUAUUUUCGAAGAGCUGCUAACGUGGAACAGACUUCAAUAUAAAUUAUCAGCCUCUUUAACACCAGCUUCCAAACGAGCUUAUAAUCAGAUCGAUUGACACAGAGAACAAACUCAUGGUUACCAGAGGGGAUGCGGAGGCAGAAGAUAGGCAAAAUGGGUGAGGGGCUGGGAGAUACCGGCUUCCAGGUUCAAAAUGAAGAAGUCCUGGGAACAAAAGGUGCAGCACAGAGAACAUAGGCAGGGGUAUUCCAACAGCACCCAAGGUGACAGAUGUUGGCCAGAGUUAGGGUGAGCAGAGCGUAAGGUGCUGAGAUGCUGAAUCCCUCUGUUGCACACCUGAAACAAAUGGAGCAGUGUGGAUCAACUGUACUGAAAAACAAAGUGAAAUAAAGUCAGAGAAAUCAUUGGCCUUAAA
rnacentral:lncRNA from 12 species